UGCCCCGAGAUGAGUUCUCCCUGACCCUUUAAGGGUCCUGAAGGAACGUUGAAGACGACGACGUUGAUAGGCCGGGUGUGUAAGCGCAGCGAUGCGUUGAGCUAACCGGUACUAAUGAACCGUGAGGCUUAACCUUACAACGCCGAAG
rnacentral:rRNA from 1 species